UACGUAGGUGGCAAGCGUUGUCCGGAUUUACUGGGCGUAAAGAGCGCGCAGGCGGUCGUUCAAGUCGCGUGUGAAAGCCCCCGGCUCAACUGGGGAGGGUCACGCGAUACUGAUCGACUCGAAGGCAGGAGAGGGAAGUGGAAUUCCCGGUGUAGUGGUGAAAUGCGUAGAUAUCGGGAGGAACACCAGUGGCGAAGGCGACUACCUGGCCUGUUAUUGACGCUGAGGCGCGAAAGCUAGGGGAGCAAACGGG
rnacentral:rRNA from 1 species